GACGAACGCUGGCGGCGUGCCUAAUACAUGCAAGUUGAGCGAUGAAGAUUGGUGCUUGCACCAAUUUGAAGAGCAGCGAACGGGUGAGUAACGCGUGGGGAAUCUGCCUUUGAGCGGGGGACAACAUUUGGAAACGAAUGCUAAUACCGCAUAACAACUUUAAACAUAAGUUUUAAGUUUGAAAGAUGCAAUUGCAUCACUCAAAGAUGAUCCCGCGUUGUAUUAGCUAGUUGGUGAGGUAAAGGCUCACCAAGGCGAUGAUACAUAGCCGACCUGAGAGGGUGAUCGGCCACAUUGGGACUGAGACACGGCCCAAACUCCUACGGGAGGCAGCAGUAGGGAAUCUUCGGCAAUGGACGAAAGUCUGACCGAGCAACGCCGCGGGAGUGAAGAAGGUUGUCGGAUCGUAAAACUCUGUUGGUAGAGAAGAACGUUGGUGAGAGUGGAAAGCUCAUCAAGUGACGGUAACUACACAGAAAGGGACGGCUAACUACGUG
rnacentral:rRNA from 1 species